AUUUAUUUACAUUUAUUAAUAAAAUAUUCUGUGUUUCUUUCUCAUGUUUUUCAUAGAAUUCUAAAGAAAAACUGUAGACUUGACUUUGAGGGAGGAGACAGACCUUAAAAAAGAGGAUGCUACAAGGAGUUCACGGCAAAUUUUCCAGAAGUAAUUCUUCCGUACGGCUAUACCGAUGUUGUUCUUCCAGUUGAGGAGCUUGAGUCUGGGCUGUCUGCUCAUCCACAAUGGGGGCAUGGUCUUCUGUUGAUGUUUGGUCAACGAUGACAGAUGACGAUGGUGAAAAGCAUGUUGCUUGAAUAUUUUCAACAGGACUUCCCUCUACACAAAGAACAGUUUGUUAUAACUUACGUGGAGGAGUAGUGGGCAUCUCUCCACUUCCGAAGGCU